rnacentral:tRNA from 3 species
AGACCCAUGGUGUAAUUGGUAACACACCGGUUUUUGGUACCGACAUUCGGGGUUCGAGUCCCUGUGGGUCUACAA